rnacentral:tRNA from 2 species
GGGCGGUUAGCUCAGCUGGGAGAGCGCCAGAAUCGCACUCUGGAGGCCAGGGGUUCAAAUCCCCUACCGUCCA